rnacentral:rRNA from 1 species
GAUGAACGCUAGCUACAGGCUUAACACAUGCAAGUCGAGGGGAAACGACAUCGAAAGCUUGCUUUUGAUGGGCGUCGACCGGCGCACGGGUGAGUAACGCGUAUCCAACCUGCCCACCACUUGGGGAUAACCUUGCGAAAGUAAGACUAAUACCCAAUGAUAUCCCACGAAGGCAUCGGAAUGGGAUUAAAGAUUUAUCGGUGAUGGAUGGGGAUGCGUCUGAUUAGCUUGUUGGCGGGGUAACGGCCCACCAAGGCUACGAUCAGUAGGGGUUCUGAGAGGAAGGUCCCCCCACAUUGGAACUGAGACACGGUCCAAACUCCUACGGGAGGCAGCAGUGAGGAAUAUUGGUCAAUGGGCGAGAGCCUGAACCAGCCAAGUAGCGUGCAGGAUGACGGCCCUAUGGGUUGUAAACUGCUUUUAUAAGGGAAUAAAGUGGGUCUCGUGAGACUUUUUGCAUGUACCUUAUGAAUAAGGACCGGCUAAUUCCGUG